AGGCAGUGAUGACUAAAUUAUUACCAUCAAACUAUAAAAGCUUAUGGAGCUUGUUGAUGCCAUCUAUUUUAUCUGAGCCU